GGGGGUGUUCCGGAUUCGAUUCCAGCCAAGAGGACGAGCCGGCAUGCGGAGGAUGUCGAUGACCCUCCUUAAUCCCAUCGGCGGCAAAAUAACUGCCAAAAACACAAUCACGUUCGAACGUAGCAAUACGCUCGCACUCGCUGCCUAAUACCAGCGAUAGGACCUUGAGCCUGACCUACGGCCCAAGAUCAUCCUAGUUAACGUAGGCGAUCCCCUCCUCUGGUCGACAUCUCCGGGGUAAGUGAGAAGACGAAUAGGUCGGACGGGCGCCCACGCCCAAAUCCGGUCGAGAUCAAUCGUGAGGCUAAGCAUGUAGAGGGCCCGUAGUAAGGGCCGGAAGACGCGGGUUCGACUCCCGCCACCUCCACCA
rnacentral:tmRNA from 1 species